CCUACGGGUGGCUGCAGUAGGGAAUUUUCGUCAAUGGGCGCAAGCCUGAACGAGCGAUGCCGCGUGAGUGAAGAAGGCCUUCGGGUCGUAAAGCUCUGUUGCCGGGGAAAAAAGGCAUCAUCAGGAAAUGGGUGCUGACUGAUGGUGCCCCCCCAGACAGUCCCGGCUAACUACGUGCCAGCAGCCGCGGUAAUACGUAGGUGGCGAGCGUUAUCCGGAAUGAUUGGGCGUAAAGGGUGCGCAGGCGGUCCUGCAAGUCUGGAGUGAAACGCAUGGGCUCAACCCAUGCAUGGCUUUGGAAACUGGAGGACUGGAGAGCAGGAGAGGGCGGUGGAACUCCAGGUGGAGCGGUAAAAUGCGUAGAUAUAGGGAAGAACACCAGUGGCGAAGGCGGCCGCCUGGACUGUGGCUGACGCUGAGGCACGAAAGCGUGGGGAGCAAAUAGGAUUAGAUACCCCAGUAGUC
rnacentral:rRNA from 1 species